rnacentral:rRNA from 1 species
UCGGGAAUUUUGGGCAAUGGGCGAAAGCCUGAUGCAGCGACGCCGCGUGAGGGAUGACGGCCUUCGGGUUGUAAACCUCUUUCAGCAGGGAAGAAGCGAAAGUGACGGUACCUGCAGAAGAAGCGCCGGCUAACUACGUGCCAGCAGCCGCGGUAAUACGUAGGGCGCAAGCGUUGUCCGGAAUUAUUGGGCGUAAAGAGCUCGUAGGCGGCUUGUCACGUCGGUUGUGAAAGCCCGGGGCUUAACCCCGGGUCUGCAGUCGAUACGGGCAGGCUAGAGUUCGGUAGGGGAGAUCGGAAUUCCUGGUGUAGCGGUGAAAUGCGCAGAUAUCAGGAGGAACACCGGUGGCGAAGGCGGAUCUCUGGGCCGAUACUGACGCUGAGGAGCGAAAGCGUGGGGAGCGAAC